GUUGCUAUGGUGUAGUGGUUAUCACGUUUGCUUUACACGCAAAAGGUCCCCAGUUCGAUCCUGGGUAGCAACA